rnacentral:rRNA from 1 species
AGACAGUUCGGUCCCUAUCCAUCGCGGGCGCAAGAAACUUGAAGGGGGCUGCUCCUAGUACGAGAGGACCGGAGUGGACGAACCGCUGGUGUACCAAUUAUCCUGCCAAGGGUACAGUUGGGUAGCUACGUUCGGGACGGAUAAACGCUGAAAGCAUCUAAGCGUGAAACCAGCCUUGAGAUGAGGUUUCUCAUAGCAUAAGCUAGUAAGAUCCCAUGUAGACGACAUGGUUGAUAGGCCAGGUGUGGAAGAGCCGUGAGGUUUGGAGCUGACUGGUACUAAUAGAUCGAGGGCUUUACUUAAACA